rnacentral:rRNA from 1 species
UACGUAGGGGGCAAGCGUUGUCCGGAAUCAUUGGGCGUAAAGAGCGUGUAGGCGGCCCGAUAAGUCCGCUGUGAAAGUCCAGGGCUCAACCCUGGAAUGCCGGUGGAUACUGCAGGGCUAGAGUCCGGAAGAGGCGAGUGGAAUUCCUGGUGUAGCGGUGAAAUGCGCAGAUAUCAGGAGGAACACCGAUGGCGAAGGCAGCUCGCUGGGACGGUACUGACGCUGAGGCGCGAAAGCGUGGGGAGCAAACAGG